UACGUAGGGGGCAAGCGUUGUCCGGAUUUAUUGGGCGUAAAGAGCGUGUAGGCGGCUUGGUAGGUCCGCUGUGAAAACUCGAGGCUCAACCUCGAGAUGUCGGCGGAAACCACUUGGCUAGAGUCCGGAAGAGGAGAGUGGAAUUCCCGGUGUAGCGGUGAAAUGCGCAGAUAUCGGGAGGAACACCAAUGGCGAAGGCAGCUCGCUGGGACGGUACUGACGCUGAGACGCGAAAGCGUGGGGGAGCAAACAGG
rnacentral:rRNA from 1 species